rnacentral:rRNA from 1 species
GGAAGGUGCAAGCGUUAAUCGGAAUUACUGGGCGUAAAGCGCGCGUAGGCGGCUAGAUAAGUCGGGUGUGAAAGCCCUGGGCUCAACCUGGGAACUGCAUUCGAUACUGUCUAGCUAGAGUGUGGUAGAGGGAGGCGGAAUUCCGCAUGUAGCGGUGAAAUGCGUAGAGAUGCGGAGGAACACCAAUGGCGAAGGCAGCCUUCUGGACCAACACUGACGCUGAGGCGCGAAAGCGUGGGGGGAGCAAACAGGAUUAGAUACCCUGGUAGUCCACGCCCGUAAACGAUGUCAACUAGCCGUUGGGAGCAUUUUGGCUCUUGGUGGCGCAGCUAACGCGAUAAGUUGACCGCCUGGGGAUACGGUCGCAAGAUU